rnacentral:ncRNA from 1 species
AGAAAGAUUUUGAUGGAAAGAAGUAGCUUUAUGAUUCAUGAAGAGAGCUAGUGGUUGGUGUGAACUAGUUGAUGAGUUUAGUGAAAUACAUUCUUGAAUUUUAUACUGAACGGUUUAAACUUAGUAGGUUGAUACGGAUAUCCCAACGUUAUAGGGAAAUGAGCGAAUAUGUAUAAACAUAUUAACUUGGGUGGUACCACGGAAAAAUUUCGUCCCUUUA